rnacentral:lncRNA from 1 species
GCUUCCCUCAUCUGUUCUCUUCCAAAGAAGCUGGUCCUUAGCCUGUAUUGCGGAGCAAGCUUUCGGCGACCAGCUGGACCCUGGGCACCCUUCUUCGAACAAUGGCUUUUAAUUCUCAGACUAGAACGUUUAGGAUUACAAAAGAAACUGGUUCUUUUCACAUUCUUAUUCUUGUGAUGUAGCAUUCCGCAUAUAUAUAUAUAUAUAUAUAUAUAUAUAUAUAUAUAUGUAUCCAACUAUCCUAAAAGACACUACCCUUCAUCAUUCCAUGCCAUUAGACAUGUAUAGGACCAUGCAUGGUGAUCUCCUCCAGACAAAAGUAAAUGCUGGUGCAGAACAGGAUUUGAGUUUGAUGUCUUGCAUACAAUGUGAUCCCACUGUAUGACUACACAAAUGUUGGCAAAAGUGAGUUCAGAGGAAAUGGUAGGCAAGUACUUCCCAGUUUUGGCCAGAAGAUGGAGAAAAAAGAAUUCUCAAAAAAUGUUAAAGGUAUGACCUGUUAUAUCUUCUUUUCACAGUAAUUUAGACAGAAAUUAGCAAAAUCAAACAUGUAUAAAUACUUUGGUCUGACAAUUCCAUCUCCAGGUGUCUACAGAGAAAUAGACAAGUGAUGCACGACAGAUACAUGUGUCAGUCUGGUCCCUGCAGUUGUAUUUGUAAUAAUACACAUUGGAGCAAUUUCAUGGCCAUCGGUUAGAGAAUGUUUGAGGAAUGAUCCAUUCAUAUCAAGAAGGACAUUUCAAAGAUCAAAACCUGAUGGAAAUGCUGGAGACCAUGGCGCUGAUAGGAGCUCAUGCGUGUGGACCAAUUACUACGUGACAGGCAUUGGCUCCAUGCUUUUCCUGCACUGCUCAUUUAAACACUGGACAACCUAAGUGUUCUGAUUUAUCCCAUUGGACAGAUAGAAAUGGAGGCACAGAAGAUUAAUGUGUUUAACUUCAAACCCUGGCAGAUUAGGUUUUUCAUCCAGAGCCUGUGGCUUCACCAUAGCUGUGAUUCACGUUCUGUCAUUCUCCACUUUAGGAAUUUCCAGUAUUCCAAAUAUGAGAAGCUGAGAAAACAAACAACAAACUCAAAACCCUAAAAACCGGAUACGUAAGGGUAGAUGUUUGUUGGGUGUGGAUUAAAAAUGGACUUUUUUUGCCCCAAGCAACAAAGAGGCACCUUAGAAAAUAGACAAGAGACAAGAAGAAGAGAAGCUUUAAGAGAUAUUUGGUCCAAGGAAGAGACUCUUCAGAUGGAAGGUCACGUCAGCUAGAAACAUUAAUAUGACUGGAUGGGCUCAAACCACUGACUUUUCAGUCAACAUCUGACAGCACUAACCCAGUGUUCCAGAGACACUGCUUGUUAAACAGUGAAUGCUGUUGCUCAAUUGUGUCAUCCGUAAUUGUCAAAUAUUGGCAUUUAGUAGCACAAGGAAGUAUUCUCCGUUGCCAAGCUAGAGCACCC